GAUGAACGCUGGCGGCGUGCCUAAUACAUGCAAGUCGAGCGAAUGGAUUAAGAGCUUGCUCUUAUGAAGUUAGCGGCGGACGGGUGAGUAACACGUGGGUAACCUGCCCAUAAGACUGGGAUAACUCCGGGAAACCGGGGCUAAUACCGGAUAACAUUUUGAACCGCAUGGUUCGAAAUUGAAAGGCGGCUUCGGCUGUCACUUAUGGAUGGACCCGCGUCGCAUUAGCUAGUUGGUGAGGUAACGGCUCACCAAGGCAACGAUGCGUAGCCGCCCUGAGAGGGUGUGCGGCCACACUGGGACUGAGACACGGCCCAGACUCCUACGGGAGGCAGCAGUAGGGAAUCUUCCGCAAUGGACGAAAGUCUGACGGAGCAACGCCGCGUGAGUGAUGAAGGCUUUCGGGUCGUAAAACUCUGUUGUUAGGGAAGAACAAGUGCUAGUUGUAUAAGCUGGCACCUAGACGGUACCUAACCAGAAAGCCACGGCUAACUACGUGCCAGCAGCCGCCGUAA
rnacentral:rRNA from 1 species